rnacentral:rRNA from 1 species
UACGGAGGGGGCUAGCGUUGUUCGGAAUUACUGGGCGUAAAGCGCACGUAGGCGGCUUUGUAAGUUAGAGGUGAAAGCCCGGGGCUCAACUCCGGAAUUGCCUUUAAGACUGCAUCGCUAGAAUUGUGGAGAGGUGAGUGGAAUUCCGAGUGUAGAGGUGAAAUUCGUAGAUAUUGGGAAGAACACCGGUGGCGAAGGCGGCUCACUGGCUCGUUUCUGACGCUCAGGCGCGAUAGCGUGGGGAUCAAACAGG